rnacentral:snoRNA from 1 species
AGGACAAUGUUGAUUACUGGUGGUGUAUGAAUUGUGAAUGAUGGACGCGUUAUUGGAACUCUGAGGUCCAA